rnacentral:lncRNA from 1 species
UCUGGCCAACAGACGUUCUUUAAUUAAAUGCCUGUCUAAUAAAAUGUCGUCAAUGGCAUACAGAUGACUGGUAAAGGAGCCGGGGCAACCGGUAGUUGAGUUCUGGAACUCAUUAAGUGCAUUUCUUUAUGCUAAGAGCAUUUCUUGCAUUUUUAUCUUGCCCUGAAUGAGCAACAACAAAGUAUCUACUGCAAAAGGGUCUAUAAUUUACAUAUUUUGAAAUAUUACCGAGCAAAAGAUAUUAAUGCAGGGAGGCCAUUGGAGUAGCCCUGAGUGGCUUGAACAUUCCUGCUUCUAUAUCUGGCUUGUUUUCCAUCCAAGGCCUU